GACUAUUUAGCUAUAAUAUAAGCUUUUGUUUUGAAAACAAAAAAAAGAAAUUAAACCUUCUAAUAGUCU
rnacentral:tRNA from 1 species